ACAAUUUUAGAAGAAUAAAUUUGGAGGAUCCUGAUCAUCGGAUCGCGGUAGAGCCAUCUGAACCAUCACAAGUAUUCAGAGAGGACAGGUAUAAAGGGACGUUCACAAGUUACAGAGAUGGACAACACCUGUAUCAUCUACUCAUGUGACCGUCAGAAGAGGGAAACAUGCAUGUUAACAACAAUGGAUGAGCUGCUACAAGACGCCAGGGAACUUUUGGGUUUUGGACAAGAUGACCAGCUCUCUGUCGUGCUGGAAAGAGAAGGAGCUAGGAUAACCAAAGAAGACGUUCUUCAUGGCAUAGCUAAGAAAAGAGAUGUUUUAGAACUGAUGAUCCUCAA